rnacentral:rRNA from 1 species
CGGCGGCCCGAGUGGUGAUCGUGAUUAUUGGGUCUAAAGGGUCCGUAGCCGGUUUGGUCAGUCCUCCGGGAAAUCUGACGGCUCAACCGUUAGGCUUUCGGGGGAUACUGCCAGGCUUGGAACCGGGAGAGGUAAGAGGUACUACAGGGGUAGGAGUGAAAUCUUGUAAUCCCUGUGGGACCACCUGUGGCGAAGGCGUCUUACCAGAACGGGUUCGACGGUGAGGGACGAAAGCUGGGGGCACAAACCGGAUUAGAUACCCGAGUAGUCC